rnacentral:ncRNA from 2 species
GUCCGUUUUUGCGACUGGCGCCGUAGAGGUGGAGCACCACCGGGAAGCGACCGACGAGGCCGGCACCGCGCGCCUGGGUGUGGCCA